rnacentral:rRNA from 1 species
AUAAGUAACCUGCCCUAGACAGGGGGAGUAACUAUUGGAAACGAUAGCUAAGACCGCAUAGGUACGGACACUGCAUGGUGACCGUAUUAAAAGUGCCUCAAAGCACUGGUAGAGGAUGGACUUAUGGCGCAUUAGCUGGUUGGCGGGGUAACGGCCCACCAAGGCGACGAUGCGUAGCCGACCUGAGAGGGUGACCGGCCACACUGGGACUGAGACACGGCCCAGACUCCUACGGGAGGCAGCAUG